rnacentral:rRNA from 1 species
UAGCAUAUCAAUAAGCGGAGGAAAAGAAACCAACAGGGAUUGCCCCAGUAACGGCGAGUGAAGCGGCAACAGCUCAAAUUUGAAAUCUGGCCCCCGGGCCCGAGUUGUAAUUUGUAGAGGAUGCUUUUGGUGAGGUGCCUUCCGAGUUCCCUGGAACGGGACGCCAUAGAGGGUGAGAGCCCCGUCUGGUUGGACACCGAGCCUCUGUAAAGCUCCUUCGACGAGUCGAGUAGUUUGGGAAUGCUGCUCUAAAUGGGAGGUAUAUGUCUUCUAAAGCUAAAUAUUGGCCAGAGACCGAUAGCGCACAAGUAGAGUGAUCGAAAGAUGAAAAGCACUUUGAAAAGAGAGUUAAAAAGUACGUGAAAUUGUUGAAAGGGAAGCGCUCAUGACCAGACUUGGGCUUGGUUGAUCAUCUAGGGUUCUCCCUAGUGCACUCCUCCAGCCCAGGCCAGCAUCAGUUUGCCCCGGGGGACAAAGGCGUCGGGAAUGUGGCUCCCUCCGGGGAGUGUUAUAGCCCGUCGUGUAAUACCCUGGGGCGGACUGAGGUUCGCGCAUCUGCAAGGAUGCUGGCGUAAUGGUCAUCAGCGACCCGUCUUGAAACACGGACCAAGGAGUCGUCUUCGUAUGCGAGUGUUCGGGUGUCAAACCCCUACGCGUAAUGAAAGUGAACGCAGGUGAGAGCUUCGGCGCAUCAUCGACCGAUCCUGAUGUUCUCGGAUGGAUUUGAGUAAGAGCAUACGGGGCCGGACCCGAAAGAAGGUGAACUAUGCCUGUAUAGGGUGAAGCCAGAGGAAACUCUGGUGGAGGCUCGCAGCGGUUCUGACGUGCAAAUCGAUCGUCAAAUAUGGGCAUGGGGGCGAAAGACUAAUCGAACCUUCUAGUAGCUGGUUUCCGCCAA